UUUUUAAUUUCUGGAAGAAAAAUAUGAAAUAAUCACUCCUGGCUAGCAACAAAUGGGUGGAAAGAGGUGGGAAAGCUAAAGCAGCUUUACAGACAAAACUUCUUUUAAUUUAUUCUCAAUAUUCCUUUUAAACCUGCUCUCCAUAAAUUCGAGCCCAUUCCCCCUGGUCCUGGCUCUCCAGGCCUUUGAAAAUAAUUUCCCCCCGUAUUUCUUGUUGGCUCCUGGAGACACUGGAAGGUGAAAUAUUAUCACCCCGAAGCGUCUCUUCCUCAGGCUGAACAAACCUAGGCAGAACUUCCAAAACCCAAAAAAACCCACCAAACUUAGGUCUCGUCCUUCGCUUGUUGCUCUGCUAGCUUAGAAACGCUGCAAUUAUGUCUUAAUUGCUUGCUAAACGAUGUGGUGAUUGAGGGGCCUUCCGGCUGUCACCAGAAUUCCUCAGAGCAGGAACAAUUAACUCAGAACGUCAGGGAAGUUAAUGACGGGCAAAUUGCUAAACAAACAUUCCCCAACAUCGUGUUAAGUACCCCAAUUAAACUCCUAUUCCAUGUUUUAAAGAUCCUGUGAUAGGGAACCCUGAGCGCGCUGGGGAGUUCUGCUCCCAGAGGAAAAACAAAAAUAAAGGACAAAUGAAAACCAGAGAGGCUUUUGUGCAACACCAACAGGGGUUUAAUGUCACAGAGAAGAGCAACAGCCGAGGGCAGGGAACCCAGGCGAUCCCAGGGGCAGCAGGGGAUGCAGGCAGGACUCGUGCUCUGGGAGCAGGGCCUUACUCAGGAGCGGGAUAAGCCAGGGAUGGACGAGUCCUGGCACAGAGAGGGGAUGGAGGGCGCAGGGAAUCCCGAGGGGAUGGAGGGCGCAGGGAAUCCCGAGGGGAUGGAGGACUCAGGGAAUCCCGAGGGGAUGGAGGGCUCAGGGCACACCCGGGGCUGCUGGGCACACUCAGCUGCCCCUGCCAGCGGCUCCUGCCCCGUGUCCCCACGGCCCGGGCUGGCCUCCAGGGCUGGCACUGCCGCUGGGGGCUGGCACUGCCAGGGCGGCUUUAGAAAACCCCGCAGCUCCCGCGGCGGGACCUGCCCCAUCUCUGGCAGCCAGGCAGGGAAUAGCCCAGGCCCCGCGAGGAGAAGCCGGAGCUGUAGGACCUCCCGCAAUUGCCAAAGGAGCCCCCAUAGCCCCCCAGGGAGCCCCCAUAGCCGGAGGAG
rnacentral:lncRNA from 1 species